UUACACAUAGAUCUGUGUGUGCUUAAAUCGUUUUCUAAAAGUAUUCACACCCCUUCUGGCUUUUGUCACAUAAUAAUCUCAUUUUAACUUAUUUUAUUAGACUCUUAUGUGGUUGAGCAAACACAAAAAAAAGGUACGUAAUUAUGAACUGGAAGCAAAAUGACACACGGUUUUACAAAUAAAAAUCUGAAAAGUGUGGCGUGCAUUUGUAUUCCAUCCUAACCCCUGCACAGAAUAACUGGAUUAACAGAGAGAUUAAAUUACAUCCAAAUCUGUUUGGUUUUAUUUAUUCAAUUCAAUUCGGAAAUACUUUAUUGAUGCCAAAGGCAAAGGUUUUUCAAAGAGUUACUGUGGAUGGUGAUGGCUGUGGGCAGGAAGGAUGUCCUGUAGCAGUUUGUAUUGCAGAGACUUCAGAGCUUCUGCAUUACAGAGCAGGCUUCCCCCAUGACUUCCCCACUCAGCUCCUUCAGACUAGCCAGCAGCAAUUAGCAAACACCUGACGGAGCUGCACAUCUGCUGAGCUCAUUAUAGGAGCUACUUCUCAGUGCCACACUGAUAGAAACAUUGUUAAAGGGUUAAUAGAGGAGCCAUGUUGUGAUGACUUUCUGAACGUGGCGUGGCAGAGCAGAAGUUUUUAUAGGGACAGAAGCCCAAUUUCAAGUUGUUAAAUUACAAAGUCAUAUUUGAUAUAUAUAGAAUUUUUCUAACAACUGAGGGUAAUAUGGUUACUAGAAAGUGCUAUAAAAUGGGACUACAUAGAAAACACAUAAUACCGCCUCCUAAAUGUCUAGAAAUUUGAACAUAAUAGUUCUGAUCGACAAGUAAAAUCCAUCGUCUAUAUACCUGCAGGUCUACAGACGAAGUGAUUUGGUUAAUUUAGGUUUGAUUCACUUUUUAAACCAAACUUUUACUUUUCUGCUUUGGUCUGCAGCCCUCAGAAUCAGUUAUUGCUGAUGCCGCUGCUGCUUUGUUGCCAGGCUUUUUCCUCUGUGGAUGCUGGGAGACGUUCCAGCCCUCUGUGACUCCUGACAGGACGAACUAUAGAGAACAAAUGGGUGGCAGGAACAGAUUGUGACUUGGCUGAAAUUAAAUGGUGAACUGUUCCUUUAAGAGGGCACAGCUGCGCUUCUGCAGCCGUCCAGGAAGUUGCUGGUGUGUAAUUACGUCUGAUUGGUCCUUCAAAAAGAUGGCAUGCACCGCCAUUAGCAUCAAAUGCGCAGACAAAAGCAGAUAAUUAUGGUCAUGUAAGGGCAAGGAGAAGGAAAGGCAAAUCUAAAUGCUGAUUCUCCAGCCAUCCUGGGGCAAGUCAAGACGACCAAUCAGAGACGCAGUGUGUCUGUGAUGUCAUCACAAAGCGCCUGGGACGUUUGCGGCACUGAGGUGAAGAACGGACGCCGAUGUGAAGAGGAGUGCCAAAGCUGGACUCGAUGCAGAACUCCCACUGCUGCUUUUAGUUGUUUGUUUGUUUUUUUGUAACAUUUCUGUAAAUAUUCUGGCCAUACAGAGUAGGCGGUCUGCUCAGGUGCAGAGCGGCAAGCUUUUCUUUUAGUCUUUAUUUUCAAGAUGAAUGAAUGUCACCCCAAAACCUGGAAUGUUUUUGGUUGCUGUAAUAAGAACAAAUAUGUAUUAUAGUCUAUUUGCUGGAAACCUCCUUUAAAAAAAAAAAACUAUCUGCAUUUUGCUCAUUAUGAGUAGAUCUUGAUGGCACUUGCAUAUUUUUCUUGCCGUAGUGGUAGAUGUUCCCGUAUCAGGCUGCUUUUCAAAUGCCUUUACGGUGAUACAAUGCUGACUCAGAUGUGCGAAACAGGCGAGUAGGAGGAGUGUGCAGCUGAGGAAACAAACUGCAGCGAGCACACACACACACACACACACACACACACACACACACACACACACACACUGAUUAGCAGCAGUGGUGCAAAUACUUUAACAAAAAAAAUAAAAUCCGCAGCUUGUUUAAGCAAUUUUUUUUUUCAGGCGUGUUCUUGAAGCCGAUGCGGCGCAUGAUGUGCACAUUUCUACAGAGAACUGAUAAAUCCCGGAGAAUGCAGGGUCUGUUGGACACCAUGCUGCCUUUCCAGCUCAUACCUGUUGUUUCCUGUCUACUUUGUUUAAAAAAGAAAA